UACGAUAAUAUUUGAGCUUUUGGAUUAGUUAAUUAGAAACCUUACUUCUCUUGGAAGAUUAUUCACUUUUUCUUAAAAAUGUUCAUGAGCUAGUUUUAAAUGGUGCAUUUUUUAUGUAUCAUGAUGCAUGCGUCAUAGUGGAAUUGAAACGCAUACUCAAUUACAUGCGGUUUUUUGAGUUGACGCAAAGUUUCUAGAAAUGAUUGACAAUUUACGUGUAUUAUAUUUAGGUAUCUACACUUUUUCGCAAAAAUUGAACGAAACAAUGAAACACUGUUAAAAUUAUCAAGUCACGUAUUUAUGGCGGUUUGAAGACCCUAUACUUGUGAGGAUGGUUUUAGCAUUAAACCAUGAGUCAUGUCAAUCGUGGGAUUACAACUUUGUCUGCGUUAGAAUAUGUUAGUAGAUAGACAGAUAGCACAAACAUACGUGGUGGAUGUGAAUGUUUUUAUAAGGAUAUGUGGAUAAAACGUUGUUGUAUCAAAUAUUGCGUGCGUUAACGCACGAUGCUAAAUCAUUUUUCCAGUUGAGCUUUCAGACUUGCCUUCAAACCAUAAUCAUUCAAUGCAUUCGCUAAGAUAUGUUCGCAAACAAAACACAAAACAAUUUUUCAGUUGUGAUUUUUUAUUACUGUCAGAAAAUGACAACUAACAGCAGAUGGUUACUUGCAUGAAAAUAGUGUUAUAAUAAAUUUAAAUAUAUGCAUUAAAAAGAAAAAA